UUAGACUGGAACGCUAGCUCAGAGAAAGAAAUGAGAAAGGAUGAAAACUCACAUUUCAAGAUAUACUGCAACAAAUGUGAAUAAAUAUUGAUAUUCAUCUUAGAUCCAAAAUUCUCCAUACCACGUACUUCUCAAGAGAUACUCCCUCACUUCAACAGAUACGAUAAGAGAAACUUGAGGAGCAGAGGGGGAAAGCACCCUGCUGACAUGACACACUUAAUUGCUUCAGCUGAGAUUGAAAUCAGGCAGCCUGACUCCAAAGCCAAACUUACAAGAGAAGAUAGCACAGGGAUGGACGAGGAACCAAGAAGGAAGUAUACUAAUGCCACUGCUCUGAAUUCUGUUUCCACCACCAUAUUUUGUCACUUUUAGGAGAUUAAAUACUAUUUUCUUUUUUAAUCAUGUCAAUAUGAUUCAAGCAAUGGUAUAUUUUUUUGCAAGUGUAAGACUAACAGAUUUUCAAAGCAGAAUGUCUGGAAAACACAGCAUCACCUAUAAUUGUACCACUUAGGCACAAAACCCUAAAUGCUUUCAUAUAGUAUUUUCAUCUUCUCAAUCAUUUUUCUUUACAUAGAUAUACAGAUAGAUGUAAACUUUAUAAUUAUUUCACAAUUCAAAUUACAGUUUUUUCUCAUGGCAUAGGCUUUGCCCCAUCUUAUUGAAUAAAUGGUUUUUAAAUGCUGUGCAAUAUU